rnacentral:snoRNA from 1 species
CUGGGGAUGAGGCCUUCCGACGCUGAGAGAUGAUGAAUGGACGGCUGGCUGAU